rnacentral:rRNA from 1 species
GAUGAACGCUGGCGGCGUGCUUAACACAUGCAAGUCGAGCGAUGAAGUUUCCUUCGGGAAACGGAUUAGCGGCGGACGGGUGAGAAACACGUGGGUAACCUGCCUCAUAGAGUGGAAUAGCCUUCCGAAAGGAAGAUUAAUACCGCAUAACGUUGAAAGAUGGCAUCAUCAUUCAACCAAAGGAGCAAUCCGCUAUGAGAUGGACCCGCGGCGCAUUGGCUAGUUGGUGGGGUAACGGCCUACCAAGGCGACGAUGCGUAGCCGACCUGAGAGGGUGAUCGGCCACAUUGGGACUGAGACACGGCCCAGACUCCUACGGAGGCAGCAGUGGGGAAUAUUGCACAAUGGGGGAAACCCUGAUGCAGCAACGCCGCGUGAGUGAUGAAGGUUUUCGGAUCGUAAAGCUCUGUCUUUGGGGAAGAUAAUGACGGUACUCAAGGAGGAAGCCACGGCUAACUACGUGCCAGCCGCCGCCGUAA